UACGUAGGUGGCAAGCGUUGUCCGGAUUUAUUGGGUUUAAAGGGUGCGUAGGCGGCUGAUUAAGUCAGUGGUGAAAGCCGAUCGCUUAACGAUCGAACUGCCAUUGAUACUGAAUAGCUUGAGUACAGAUGAGGUAGGCGGAAUUGACAGUGUAGCGGUGAAAUGCAUAGAUAUUGUCAAGAACACCGAUUGCGAAGGCAGCUUACUAAAGUGUCACUGACGCUGAGGCACGAAAGUGCGGGGAUCAAACAGG
rnacentral:rRNA from 1 species